rnacentral:rRNA from 1 species
AGUGAACGCUGGCGGUAGGCCUAACACAUGCAAGUCGAACGGCAGCACAGGAGAGCUUGCUCUCUAGGUGGCGAGUGGCGGACGGGUGGGGAAUACAUCGGAAUCUGCCCAGUCGUGGGGGAUAACGUAGGGAAACUUACGCUAAUACCGCAUACGACCUUCGGGGGAAAGAGGGGGAUCGCAAGACCUCUCGCGAUUGGAUGAGCCGAUGUCGGAUUAGCUAGUUAGCGGGGUAAUGGCCCACCAAGGCGACGAUCCGUAGCUGGUCUGAGAGGAUGAUCAGCCACACUGGAACUGAGACACGGUCCAGACUCCUACGGGAGGCAGCAGUGGGGAAUAUUGGACAAUGGGCGCAAGCCUGAUCCAGCCAUACCGCGUGGGUGAAGAAGGCCUUCGGGUUGUAAAGCCCUUUUGUUGGGAAAGAAAUCUUUCAGGCUAAUACCCUGGGAGGAUGACGGUACCCAAAGAAUAAGCACCGGCUAACUUCGUG